rnacentral:rRNA from 1 species
CCUACGGGCGGCUGCAGUGGGGAAUAUUGGACAAUGGGGGGAACCCUGAUCCAGCCAUGCCGCGUGUGUGAAGAAGGCCCUCGGGUUGUAAAGCACUUUCAGUGAGGAAGAACGCCUGGUGGUUAAUACCCAUCAGGAAAGACAUCACUCACAGAAGAAGCACCGGCUAACUCCGUGCCAGCAGCCGCGGUAAUACGGAGGGUGCGAGCGUUAAUCGGAAUUACUGGGCGUAAAGCGCGCGUAGGUGGCUUGAUAAGCCGGUUGUGAAAGCCCCGGGCUCAACCUGGGACGGCAUCCGGAACUGUCAAGCUAGAGUGCAGGAGAGGAAGGUAGAAUUCCCGGUGUAGCGGUGAAAUGCGUAGAGAUCGGGAGGAAUACCAGUGGCGAAGGCGGCCUUCUGGACUGACACUGACACUGAGGUGCGAAAGCGUGGGUAGCAAACAGGAUUAGAUACCCUAGUAGUC